GGUAGAAUGGCUGAGGGAAUAGGCAAUAGAUUGUAAAUCUAUACAGGAGGGGCAACCUCUUCUACCA
rnacentral:tRNA from 1 species